rnacentral:rRNA from 1 species
AUGAAAAAAAGGAAAUGGCCAGGGAACCCUUGCUGCUCUUUUUGCAAAGGGGUGGAAACAGCUCAACACCUAUUUCUUACAUGCCCAGUGGCCAGGGUAGUCUGGCGAUCCAUUGGGGUGGUUUUAGGCACUGAUAAAUGUCCAACGAACUACUGGCAAUACUUCGUAUGGUGUCACAAGUUUCUCCCUGGGAAGAAAACUUUCUACACGGUGGGCUUAGCGGCCACUUGUUGGGCCAUAUGGUUGGCGCGCAAUCAAGCUACUUUUGAAAAUAAACAAAUCAAGACUCCUUUUGAGAUUGUGUUCUCUCUGUGCUCUUUUUUGCUCUACUAGAUAGGUCUACAGCAAGGGGAUGACGCCAGGGACCUGCGCACAGGAGCUGAGAUGGUCAGGGAUAGCACGAUGGAGCUGAUGAAGAUGUGUGAUGCUAUCAAGCAACCGAUCCAAGGUGCCUGA